GAAAUGCGAUAAGUAGUGUGAAUUGCAGAAUUCAGUGAAUCAUCGAAUCUUUGAACGCACAUUGCGCCCUUUGGUAUUCCAAAGGGCAUGCCUGUUCGAGCGUCAUUUGUACCCUCAAGCCUUGCUUGGUGUUGGGCGUCUUGUCUCUAGCUUUGCUGGAGACUCGCCUUAAAGUAAUUGGCAGCCGGCCUACUGGUUUCGGAGCGCAGCACAAGUCGCACUCUCUAUCAGCAAAGGUCUAGCAUCCAUUAAGCCUUUUUUUCAACUUUUGACCUCGGAUCAGGUAGGGAUACCCGCUGAACUUAAGC
rnacentral:misc_RNA from 1 species